rnacentral:rRNA from 1 species
GACAGAGGGUGCAAACGUUGUUCGGAAUUACUGGGCGUAAAGCGCGUGUAGGCGGCUCUGCAAGUCAGGUGUGAAAUCCCACGGCUCAACCAUGGAAGUGCACUUGAAACUGCAGGGCUAGAGUCCUGGAGAGGAAGGUGGAAUGCUUGGUGUAGAGGUGAAAUUCGUAGAUAUCAGGUGGAAUACCGGUGGCGAAGGCGGCCAAUUGGCCCAACACUGACGCUGAGAUACGAAAGCGUGGGGAUCAAACAGG